GGCGUCCGCUAGGGCGCGCUGCGAGACCGGGAAUGCCCGCCCGGCGCCCCGCCGCCCCGGCCGCGCGCACACGCCGUGCCCUCGCCCCCCUCGAAAUCAUAUUUACAGUUCUUUUUUUUCCCCCCUCUCCUGUGACAUUUUCUCCAAAUCGGAAAAUGAAGUGUAAGUCGAGCUUUGCCGCAGGCGGCCCUCGGUCUCCGCUUUCCGGCUCGGGGUCCCGGAGUGAGAUGCGCUGCCCCCGGCAGUGCGAACCCCGGGGGACGGAGUGGGGCCCCCAGCCCAGCACCCCGGGCCCGGCCGCUCCGCCAGCGGAGACCGCGGAGUCCGGCUCUGCGCCGCGCGCGGGUGCGCUCCGGACGCGGCGAGUCGCAGGCCUCGCCGCGGGUUCAAGUGCAUCCCCGCGGCUGGAGCCCGCGGCUCUGAGAGCGAGUUCUGCCCUGCUCAGCCCCCUCUGGGAGUUCUGUGCGCCCGCGGCUCCCGGGCCCCUCUCCCCGACCCCGCAGCGCGCUGGGCCGCCGGCUGGGGGCAGGCACCCGGCUCGCGCUCCUCCUGGCCCGGGCCGGGCCCCCGGCGCGGCGCUGCCCCCGGGCCGAGCAGGAGGCUCCGCCUGGAAAAGAAGUCAGACUUCCUCUCCACGCUGCUCCGACUGGAAUCUGGAAUCGGCAGGAAAUUGCUCCAACACCCGGGCCGCGCCUUUGCAGUCAGCCCUCGCUUUGCUGAAGAGAAGCAGCUCCCACCAAAGUCUUGCCUCCCCCUCCCCCCGAAAGCCCCGCGCAGGUCAGAGCCUACAAGAAAAGCCUGGAGCCAUGCACUCACCCGGGCGAAGCCAUAAAGAGGUAGUAGCGUGGGAAUCAUCUAGAAAAAACAUCACCUUCACAAAGCAUCCAUCCGAAGGGCACACAAAGCACAUCUCUCAAAGCAAGUGGCACUCUGUCCAGCCAAGCAGCUACCCAUCUGGGACAGUGCUUCCAGUCUCCUGUGCAUCUAGCUGGGGUCAUGUGACGAGUUUUCACCACUGGAAAACGAGCAGAAGGAGCAUUUCUAAGAAGUGAAUGUGCCAUCUCCACUAUCUCUGAGGGCAGGAAAUGAUUCUGAAGACAUAGGGCAAGGCCAAGCCUCAAGUUAGAAACCUGAAUCCUUCAUCCCACAGCUUUCAAGCUCAACAUGCCCAUCCCUCCCCAGACCCAUUAAGUGGCAAAGAAGGGAAAUAUUUCUACUUUCUUCAUGGUCUUCGAAAGGAUGGACACACAGCCCUGAGGGAAAUCGCUGGCCAGAGGAAAGCAGUCCCCUAGAGAUAGCAAUCCAAAUAUCAUCAUAGAGCUGGGCCACAGCCAGCAUCUCCAUCAGCAACUUUGAAGAGUUGUCUGUCUUCCCAGCACAAUAAAACUGGAGACAUGAGCAUCCAGAGCUCCAGCCAGCACAAUUACAUGAAGCCAAAGCGCAUUAUCACUUCUAGGUUGCAGGAUUUAUGACCAGCUCCGAUGGAAAAUAAAGACAGAGAUACUCUACUUGUCUGAAUUCAUCACUCACAAAAGGCAGUAUGUUUUAAUCAUAGAGAAGUUGUCUAUAUUGUACUUUUUCUAACAAAAACCUUCACAAGCAGAGCAGAAACGGAUACCAGCAUCUUAAAGAAAAAAAGAAAAAUGCAAAAGAUUGCCAGUUUGAUUCUGUUCAGAAAAUAUGCCCUUGAUAUCCUUUAUUGUUGAAAAGCUCCUUUCAAAUGCAUUGAGGCAAGUGCUUCUAUUUUGGAGUUUCCCUGGGUUUGGGAAACUGCUUCUAACCUGAGUGGAACAGAGGGGUAGGUUUGUAGGUCUGUAUGGUGUAUCAGUGUCAGCUGAUCCAGGGACUAAGUAAUGAGGCUAAAAUCAUUCUACUUCUAGGAUGCCUGUGACUUCCAUUUGCCAUGAGAGUGUUAAUUCCUGUGGCAGUACGCCUGCCAUGAGCUCCCCCAGAGCCAUGCUCUUCACCAGCACAGCAUUCUCAGGCAUUACUACAGAUGCUCAUUAAUCAUCUCUACUCUAGGAGGUACGCCCUGUGAGCUCAGACUCUUGGUGUUCCUGGCUCAGUGCUAGGACAUGGUGAAUGCAGAAAAUAUUGAAGAGCUCUGAUUAGGUUGUGAUUUUAAGUAAUUAAAAUUCUUGGGCUGGCCCUGUGGCAUAGUGGUUAAGUUCAGCAUGCUCCACUUCAGCAGCCUGGGUUCAGUUCCAGGGUGUGGACUCAAACCACUCAUUGGUGGCCGUGCUGUGGUGGCGACCCACAUACAAAAUAGAAGAAGAUUGGCACAGAUGAUAGCUCUGGGAGAAUCUUCCUCAAGCAAAAAGAGGAAGAUUGGCAACAGGUAAUAGCUCAGGACCAAUCUUCCUCAGCAGAAAAAAAUUAUUUACAAGGACCAUUUGUUUUCACUGUUAGUUCCCUCAUAGACAAAGAAAGGGUAAACCAGUGUGGUUUUUGUCUAAUGUUUUCAAAUUUUGAAUUAUUUAAAUACAUGUUGGUGAAAUUGCUAUUUAACUGUUUAUCAGAACCAAAAUUACAGCCUCAAACCUUCCACAAAAUGGAAAAGACUGUUUGGAAAAGGAAGGAAGGUGCCACAUAAUCCUUUAAACACAAGAUUCAGCCCUUACUUCUACUGAUGCUUGGAAUAGCUCCCAAAACCCUAAAAGUGGGUUUGUUUCCGGAACACCUGGACCAGAGACCACAUUUUUAUGAGGUUUGCCUUUCACAGUGAAGUUUACAUCAGGGAGCUAUAUUUUCCCUAUAUUUACUUUUAAGUCAUUUGGGUUUUCUAAUAAAAUAACAAUUCUCAUUUUCUUCCUUCUUCCCAGAUGAACACAUUUAUUGUUUUAAUCUGUGAAAGGUUCUACAUGGGGCUGUGGUUGAUGAUUGGGACGCUCUGGAAUGGUGCAUUAGGAAAAGAAUAUUAUUUACAUUUAGGAAAAUACUCAGUUGGCUGAAUGUCUAGCCACUAAAAUAAUAACAGUUCGUCAAAACAUAGUUAUCCCAAAUAUCCUUUCAAGAGCGGCGAUCAGAUUUCCUGAAGAGUCCAAGAUGAGGAUGAGAAUUGUGAGGAGGCGAGACCAGAGGGACAAACCAGGUUUGGAAACAGGAAGUAGGUCAAGGAAUUGAGGGUUUGAAAUAUAGGAAAAGAAAGAACUCAUGGAAUUCUCCUCCGUAGACGUCUAGUCUGAACGUAAUCCAGGCUGGUGGGAGGUAAAAUCACUAUCUGAUAUUCUGUGGCCACCUCAAAAAUGUGUUGGUAGUUUCAACCAGACUGGAGUCCACAUUGAAAAACCAUCAGCCCCACUGCCUCAGGCUGCACAGCACAGCUACAGGCCCAAAUCUGCCCAGAGGGACCCAGUGCCACUUAUGGUCAGGAUGGGGGUUGGUGGGGAGAAGAGCAGCAUGUGUACUCAAGCUGGUCGCUAAGGGGGACAGUGGGGGUGUCCAGUCCAGGGCGAUGCAUUCAGCUCCGCUCUGGAGCAGUAAACAGAGAAGUGACAAGAGGCUGGGCUCCCUUGUUGUUGUUGUUGUUAGUGCCUUUGAGUUGAUUCUGACUCUGUGAAGCAGAGCAGAACCCUGCUUUUUGCCCCAUCCUCUCACCUUUUGGUGCUGUAUCAGACGAUGCUCUGCUGUUAAUCAUAGGAGUUUCAUGGCCAGUGUUUUUGUAAGUGGGUGGCCAGGUCCUUCUUCCUAGGCUGUCUUAGUCUGGAAGCUCUGCUGAAACCUGUCCACCCUGGGUGACCCUGCUGGGACUUGAAUUUCUAGUGGCAUAGCCUUCAGCAUCAUAGCAACACGCAGACACCACAGGAUGACAACCAAGAGAUGGCAGUGUGGUUCCCUGACCAGGAAAGGAACUCGAGUCCUGGUGGUGAGAGUUCCGAAUCUUAACCACUUGGCCACCAGGGCUGGCUAAGCUCUUUUGUUAGGAACUCUUAAUCUUGUAAGGUGACCAUAGAUUGGUAGAUUUAUUUUUUUAUUCAAAUAAUAACUUGGAGUAUAUAUAUAAUAAAUAUGUAUGUGUAUAUGUACAUGCUUGAUUAGUAUUUAUAUAAAAGUGAAUGUAUUAAAACAUUCUAAACUUACAUUGUGGUGAUGGUUGCGCAUCUCUGUGAAUACACUAAAACCCAUUAAGUUGUACACUUUAAAUGGAUAAGUUUUAUGAUAUGUGAUUAUAUCUCACUAAAGAUGUUUUCAUCCCUUUAUUUUUCUAAAAAUAAAAAUUGUAGACUGGG
rnacentral:lncRNA from 1 species